rnacentral:rRNA from 1 species
AGACCCGAAACCCGGUGAUCUAGCCAUGGGCAGGUUGAAGGUUGGGUAACACUAACUGGAGGACCGAACCGACUAAUGUUGAAAAAUUAGCGGAUGACCUGUGGCUGGGGGUGAAAGGCCAAUCAAACCGGGAGAUAGCUGGUUCUCCCCGAAAGCUAUUUAGGUAGCGCCUCGUGAAUUCAUCUCCGGGGGUAGAGCACUGUUUCGGCUAGGGGGCCAUCCCGGCUUACCAACCCGAUGCAAACUGCGAAUACCGGAGAAUGUUAUCACGGGAGACACACGGCGGGUGCUAACGUCCGUCGUGAAGAGGGAAACAACCCAGACCGCCAGCUAAGGUCCCAAAGUCAUGGUUAAGUGGGAAACGAUGUGGGAAGGCCCAGACAGCCAGGAUGUUGGCUUAGAAGCAGCCAUCAUUUAAAGAAAGCGUAAUAGCUCACUGGUCGAGUCGGCCUGCGCGGAAGAUGUAACGGGGCUAAACCAUGCACCGAAGCUGCGGCAGCGAACGUAUCACUUAAAGCGAUUCAGCGGGUUACGAUUGACGGAGCGAAGCGACGUCAAAGCGUAUACAAAGUCGAGUCGGUUUAAGGAUACGUUCGUUGGGUAGGGGAGCGUUCUGUAAGCCUGUGAAGGUGUGUCGUGAGGCAUGCUGGAGGUAUCAGAAGUGCGAAUGCUGACAUAAGUAACGAUAAAGCGGGUGAAAAGCCCGCUCGCCGGAAGACCAAGGGUUCCUGUCCAACGUUAAUCGGGGCAGGGUGAGUCGACCCCUAAGGCGAGGCCGAAAGGCGUAGUCGAUGGGAAACGGGUUAAUAUUCCCGUACUUGGUGUUACUGCGAAGGGGGGACGGAGAAGGCUAUGUUGGCCGGGCGACGGUUGUCCCGGUUUAAGCGUGUAGGUGUGUGUUCCAGGUAAAUCCGGUUCACUUUAACACUGAGGCGUGAUGACGAGGCACUACGGUGCUGAAGCAACAAAUGCCCUGCUUCCAGGAAAAGCCUCUAAGCAUCAGGUAACAUCAAAUCGUACCCCAAACCGACACAGGUGGUCAGGUAGAGAAUACCAAGGCGCUUGAGAGAACUCGGGUGAAGGAACUAGGCAAAAUGGUGCCGUAACUUCGGGAGAAGGCACGCUGACA